UACGUAGGGGGCUAGCGUUGUCCGGAAUCAUUGGGCGUAAAGCGCGUGUAGGCGGUCCGGUAAGUCCGCUGUGAAAGUCGGGGGCUCAACCCUCGAAAGCCGGUGGAAACUGUCGGGCUAGAGUGCGGAAGAGGCGAGUGGAAUUCCUGGUGUAGCGGUGAAAUGCGCAGAUAUCAGGAGGAACACCAGUUGCGAAGGCAGCACGCUGGGACGUCACUGACGCUGAGACGCGAAAGCGUGGGGAGCAAACAGG
rnacentral:rRNA from 1 species